GACGAACGCUGGCGGCGUGCUUAACACAUGCAAGUCGAACGGAAAGGCCCUGCUUUUGUGGGGUGCUCGAGUGGCGAACGGGUGAGUAACACGUGAGUAACCUGCCCUUGACUUUGGGAUAACUUCAGGAAACUGGGGCUAAUACCGGAUAGGAGCUCCUGCUGCAUGGUGGGGGUUGGAAAGUGUCGGCGGUUGGGGCUGGACUCGCGGCUUAUCAGCUUGUUGGUGGGGUAGUGGCUUACCAAGGCUUUGACGGGUAGCCGGCCUGAGAGGGUGGCCGGCCACAUUGGGACUGAGAUACGGCCCAGACUCCUACGGGAGGCGGCAGUGGGGAAUAUUGCACAAUGGGCGGAAGCCUGAUGCAGCAACGCCGCGUGCGGGAUGACGGCCUUCUGGUUGUAAACCGCUUUCGCCUGUGACGAAGCGUUAGUGACGGUAAUGGGUAAAGAAGCACCGGCUAACUACGUG
rnacentral:rRNA from 1 species